rnacentral:tRNA from 1 species
GGUGGAUUGGCUCAGCGGUUAGAGCGUAGCUCUCGUACCGAAAGGUUGCGGGAUCGAAUCCCGCUAGAGGCUG